ensembl:lncRNA
GUCGAAACUGCCAAACAGCUACUAGAAGAAACUUUGGCAGGGGGCCAGGCAGAAGACCUGUGUCUAGAGCUGCAAAAAGCCAGCAAGCAGCUGGAGGAUAUCAGCAAGCAUGCGGAGGAUCAAGCUGAAGCAUUUCACUCUGCUCGUGAAGAAGCAGCAUCCUUGAAGAGCAAGUUGGAGGAAGCCAUUUCUGAGCAGCAGAAGCUCAGGGAUGUGAAUGCUGCUUUAGAAAGCACUUGCCAACUGCUUCAGGAGAAGGUGGAAGACCACAAAAUGCUGUGCAGAGUCAGAGUCUGAGUGCGCUCUGCUGCCCACGGUAGUUGCACACAUAAAAGGGCAGCAGCUCCACUGCUCCAAAAGACCAUGGAAUGAGGGACCCACCCUGUACUCUGACUUUCCCUGGGCACUGCCAUCAGGUGCUUCACGCUGGCACAACUCCCCUCUGCUAGAUGCUCUGACCUUGGAGACCUCCUGCCCAAAUAACCCUCCUGGGCACAGCUGGGACCAGCCUUGCAGGCAGAGCUCUGGCAGCUGCACCUUGGAGAGGCAUGAUGUGGGACACGUGUCCAGCUCAGAUGUGACCUCGGGAGGAUGCAGGUGGAAAAUAUACUCUGCUGAUGACUACACUGAUGCAG